GGAAAAAAAACCAAGUUUUUACUAACUUUAAGGGGGCAAGAGGGAACCGGGAGUGGGGGGGAUGAAUAGUUAAUUUUACACCAUAGGAUCAAGAAUUCAUGUUUGUUUCUGACUCUAUAGAGUUCCUUUAAGCUUAUGAGGGUGGAGCUACACAGCCAUAACAAUGCUGCCAAGGUUUUAUGAGGAAAUGUAAAUAUUUAGUUUUCUC